GAAAGCGGUGUGCUUGGAAACUUGCUCGCACCGUUUGGACGGGGGCU
rfam:Candidatus Phytoplasma aurantifolia strain WBDL phyWBDL_0084, whole genome shotgun sequence.